rnacentral:rRNA from 1 species
GAUGAACGCUGGCGGCGUGCCUAAUACAUGCAAGUCGAGCGAACAGACGAGGAGCUUGCUCCUCUGACGUUAGCGGCGGACGGGUGAUUAACACGUGGAUAACCUACCUAUAAGACUGGGAUAACUUCGGGAAACCUGAUCUAAUACCGGACAAUAUAUUGAACCGCAUGGUUCAAUAGUUAAAGACGGUUUUGCUGUCACUUAUAGGUGGAUCCGCGCCGCAUUAGCUAGUUGGUAAGGUAACGGCUUACCAAGGCAACGAUGCGUAGCCGACCUGAGAGGGUGAUCAGCCACACUGGAACUGAGACACGGUCCAGACUCCUACGGGAGGCAGCAGUGGGGAAUCUUGCGCAAUGGGCGAAAGCCUGAUGGAGCCACGCCGCGUGAGUGAAGAAGGUCUUCGGAUCGUAAAACUCUGUUAUUAGGGAAGAACAAAUGUGUAAGUAACUAUGCACGUCUUGACGGUACCUAAACAGAAAGCCACGGCUAACUACGUG